rnacentral:rRNA from 1 species
AGUGCACAGGCAUAGCGCCUGUGCUUUUCGGUACCCUAAGGCGGUACCAGAAUAAGGGCUGGGCAAGACCGGUGCCAGCCGCCGCGGUAAUACCGGCAGCCCGAGUGAUGGCCGAUCUUAUUGGGCCUAAAGCGUCCGUAGCUGGCCGCACAAGUCCAUCGGAAAAUCCACCCGCCCAACGGGUGGGCGUCCGGUGGAAACUGUGUGGCUUGGGACCGGAAGGCGCGACGGGUACGUCCGGGGUAGG